GGCUUGGUUCUAUGUCCCUGUAGGUAGGUGCGAGGGCGAAGAGGAACCUGUGGGCCUCGGGGGAUCCCGGGGGGCCAGACCAGUGUUCCCCAUUUGUGGGGGCAGACGCGUGGGCGCAUCGCGGGCAGGAGGGGCCUGACGUGCAUUUGCGGGCCGUGGACCCUGGCGGGGGCUGGGAGGACAGACGUGGGGUCCCAGCAGUGAAGCGGGUUCCAGAGGCGCAGGAGUGGGUAGGCGAGGCUGGUGGCCCUGGGCCCGGAGUCUGCAGGCCGCGCUCCUGUCCUGCCACUGAGGGACCCGGUUACCAACCCUCAUGUAGCUCAGUUUGCCCAUCUGUCCCCGUGCUAACACACAGUUCUCGGGAGACGUUCCCCAUUCCCAGAGUAGUAGUGCGAAAUGCGUGUGCCUCUAGUCUCAAGCUGGGCGUUUGUAUUAGUUGGGUUUCCUGGUGUCUAUUUAACAAGUGAAGUUUCUGGUUCCCUCCUUCACUGUGUGACCUGCCUAGUCCUCCUGGAUUGCAUUUAUGGAAGUUUAUACGAGACCUAGUUUCCAUGGAGGAACUCACUGAUUCCGCGAGGGAGAUGGGGUACUGGAUGAUGGUCUUCAGCCUUAAGGGUACUUCAGUCUUCACUGUGUGUUAUAAAGUUUGAAAGGGAGGGUUCCCUAUGAAUAAGAAGCGCACUUGAAAGAACAGCCCUCUGGUCUAACUUCUCACUGGUGCUUCAGAGGAGGAUAAAAGGUCGCAGCUAUGUUUCCAGUGUCCUCUGGGUGUUUCCAAGAGCAACAAGAAACGAAUAAAUCUCUGCCCCGCAGCGCCUCCACCCCAGAGACCCGGACCAAGUUCACACAGGACAAUCUGUGCCACGCCCAGCGCGAGCGCCUGGACUCGGCCAACCUGUGGGUGCUGGUGGACUGCAUCCUUCGCGACACCUCCGAGGACCUGGGACUCCAGUGUGACGCCGUGAACCUGGCCUUCGGGCGCCGCUGUGAGGAACUGGAGGACGCGCGGCACAAGCUGCAGCACCACCUGCACAAGAUGCUGCGGGAAAUCACAGAUCAGGAACACAACGUGGUGGCACUGAAGGAGGCCAUCAAGGACAAGGAGGAACCUCUGCACAUAGCCCAGACCCGGCUGUAGUUGCUCUCACACCGGCCCAACAUGCAGCUGUGCCGCGAUGCAGCCCAGUUCAGCCCCAGCUCACACCCCCCAACACCCCCAAGCUGGUGAGUGAGGUGGAGGAGCUGUACAAGUCCAUCACAGCGCUGCGGGAGAAGCUUCUACAAGCGGAGCAGUCCCUGCGCAACCUCAAGGACAUCCACAUGAGCCUGGAGAAGGACGUCACUGCCAUGACCAACAGUCUCUUCAUCGACCGCCAGAAGUGCAUGGCCCAUCGUACUUGCUACCCCACCAUUCUGCAGCUGGCUGGCUACCAGUGAGCAGCGGCACGGUGCUUCCCCCCAAUCCCCCAAAUAAACAGUGCGUUAGCUU
ensembl:lncRNA TEKT4P2 tektin 4 pseudogene 2